UACGUAGGGGGCAAGCGUUGUCCGGAAUCAUUGGGCGUAAAGCGCGUGUAGGCGGUUCGGUAAGUCUGCUGUGAAAGUCCAGGGCUCAACCCUGGGAUGCCGGUGGAUACUGUCGGGCUCGAGUCCGGAAGAGGCGAGUGGAAUUCCUGGUGUAGCGGUGAAAUGCGCAGAUAUCAGGAGGAACACCGGUGGCGAAGGCGGGUCUCUGGCCGUAACUGACGCUGGAGGAGCGAAGCGUGGGAGCGAACAGG
rnacentral:rRNA from 1 species